GAUGAACGCUGGCGGCGUGCCUAAUACAUGCCAGUCGAGCGAACAGAUGAGGAGCUUGCUCCUCUGACGUUAGCGGCGGACGGGUGAGUAACACGUGGAUAACCUACCUAUAAGACUGGGAUAACUUCGGGAAACCGGAGCUAAUACCGGAUAAUAUAUUGAACCGCAUGGUUCAAUAGUGAAAGACGGUUUUGCUGUCACUUAUAGAUGGAUCCGCGCCGCAUUAGCUAGUUGGUAAGGUAACGGCUUACCAAGGCAACGAUGCGUAGCCGACCUGAGAGGGUGAUCGGCCACACUGGAACUGAGACACGGUCCAGACUCCUACGGGAGGCAGCAGUAGGGAAUCUUCCGCAAUGGGCGAAAGCCUGACGGGGCAACGCCGCGUGAGUGAUGAAGGUCUUCGGAUCGUAAAACUCUGUUAUUAGGGAAGAACAAAUGUGUAAGUAACUAUGCACGUCUUGACGGUACCUAAUCAGAAAGCCACGGCUAACUACGUG
rnacentral:rRNA from 1 species